rnacentral:rRNA from 1 species
CCUACGGGAGGCAGCAGUGAGGAAUAUUGGUCAAUGGUCGGGAGACUGAACCAGCCAAGCCGCGUGAGGGAGGAAGGUACAGAGUAUCGUAAACCUCUUUUGUCAGGGAACAAAGGCGAGGACGUGUCCCCGGAUGAGUGUACCUGAAGAAAAAGCAUCGGCUAACUCCGUGCCAGCAGCCGCGGUAAUACGGAGGAUGCGAGCGUUAUCCGGAUUUAUUGGGUUUAAAGGGUGCGCAGGCGGUCUGUUAAGUCAGCGGUAAAAGCCCGGGGCGCAACCCCGGCCCGCCGUUGACACUGGCAGUCUCGAGUUGGAGAGAAGUAUGCGGAAUGCGCGGUGUAGCGGUGAAAUGCAUAGAUAUCGCGCAGAACUCCGAUUGCGAAGGCAGCAUGCCGGCUCCACACUGACGCUGAGGCACGAAAGCGUGGGGAUCGAACAGGAUUAGAUACCCUAGUAGUC